GGCAACCCGCCGCUGCCAUUUUGGAGAGGGAGCCGCCGAGGGAAGGAGAGGCCUUCGGGGGGGGGGGGGGGGCGCUGCUGCCCCCUGCCCCGCCCGUUCCAACGGCUCCCGCCAACGGCCGCAGCGCCCCCACCGCGCGCCGCCGGCUCUUCCCUCCGCCGCAGCAGCGAUCUCGCACCGCGGGGCCGGCGGGGCGGGGUGGGGGGAGAUGCGGAGCGCGUUUCCAUGGCAACCCCCAACGGCAGGGCACCACUGAAAAGAGUCCAGCCUCAUCACCUUUACACCCUCCCUUUGGAUACUUACACAUAUUGAUAAGAUCCCCCUUCAACCUUCUCUUCUCCAGGCUGAACAGUCCCAGCCCUCUCAGGCUUUCCUCGUAAGAGAGAUGCUCCAGUCCCUUAACUAUCUUAGUGGACCUUUGCAAGACUUGCUCCGGUAACUCCAUGUCUCUCUUGUGCUGGGGGGACCAGAACUGGACACAGUACUCCAGGUGUGGCCUUACCAGGGCUGAAGAGAGGAGGAGCAUCAGCUCCCUCCACCUGCUGUCAAUACUCUUCCUGAUACACCCAGGAUACCAGUGUCCUUGGCUACAAGGGCACAUUACUAGCUCACAGUCAACUUGUCAUCCACCAGGAUUCCCAGACCCUUUUCUGCAGAGCUCCCACCCUGUGCUGGUGCAUGGGGUUAUUCCUCCCUAGGUGCAGGACCCCGCACUUCCCUUUUUGUUGAAUUUCAGGCGGUUCCCCCCCUGCCCAUCUCUCCAGCCUCAAUCACAGUAGGAGUAGCUGGUGUAAAUUGGUAGUAACCCCUCAGUAAUCAAACAUGAAUACUAAACUGGAAGCUUUAAAAUGUGAGGAAAGGAAGAUACAUACCCAGUCUCACACGAAGUUGUUUAACAUGAGUAUAUUCCAGACAAUGAGCUGCAGUGACCACCCAUUCAGGUGAAAGCAAGGUACCGCCACACUUUUCUUUCUGAUUCUGUAUUAUAAGGGCCUGCCAACAGAAAAUAAAGUUACGUCUUAUUCAAAUGUAUUUGACUUGAAUCUCCAUCAUGUCAGAUUUUAUGCUGCUUCCUUCUGUCGUUUUAUGCAGUAUGUUUGACAUACUGUGCUGAUUGUAUGGGCAACUUAGGAGUGGGGAUUUUCCCAUUGGCAUUUUCUUCAUCUUACAGUAUGGACCCUUCCUAUUAUGGCCAAGAGUAUACUCGUGGAAGCUGCAACUAAAAUUCUUGCUGGCAGCAAGGUUAAGGGCUAAGGGAUCAGGAGAUAUAGGAGAUGGAAUUACCACUCCAUUCCUAUGAAAGCAGACACUCCAGAACAAGAUUAAGAUGCAUAAUUGGAACAAGUGUUGAUUAUGGGUGAAGAGGAAAUUUGGCUUUCCAGACAUGGCACUUUUUAUGGGUUUUAACAAUAGAUUUAAAAUAAUGAAUUUUAUAUAAUCAUUGCAGAAGAAAAAAAAAAUCAGUGAAGAAUCUUGAAGACUCACUUGCCAUGGACAUUCACCUGGAGGACAGAUGAAACCACCUACUAUUCUCCCUUCCAUAGUUGCAUUUUUUUUUGCCAACACUGGUAUUUUUCCACAUGGAUAUUUCACUGAAAAAUACAGCAACAAGCACAAUUUUAUUACACUGAAUUCACAGCAACGUUUGUAAGACUGAUUCCUGUUAAACAUCUUCAAUAAAGUUAUGCUAGCUGAAAAA